UGUCCAUUAUGAUGAAAUAUUUGCGGAUGUAAAAAUUUGUCACGUCGGAAAGCGCAAAUCAAACAAUGUCGAUAUUUCCGUUGCCUUCCUUCUGAUUUUGGAA
rnacentral:snoRNA from 1 species